UACAGAGGGGGCAAGCGUUGUUCGGAAUUACUGGGCGUAAAGGGCGCGUAGGCGGCCCGUCAAGUCCCGUGUGAAAGCCCCCGGCUCAACCGGGGAACUGCACGGGAAACUAGCAGGCUUGAGUUCGGGAGAGGGAAGCGGAAUUUCGGGUGUAGCGGUGAAAUGCGCAGAUAUCCGAAGGAACACCGGUGGCGAAGGCGGCUUCCUGGACCGACACUGACGCUGAGGCGCGAAAGCGUGGGGAGCGAACAGG
rnacentral:rRNA from 1 species